rnacentral:piRNA from 1 species
CCUUUGCGUUUGGUCUCAGAGCCCCACUGU